UUUUUUUUUGUUUUUUUUUUUUGUUUUUUUUUAAUUCUUAUUUUCACAGUACACAGUGGUGUGGUUGGACCUCCAGAGUCCCAUUUGUCAGCUGGGGAGAGGGCAGAGAGCACCUGAUUUUGACACAUAUUUCACACCACCAGUCAGAGUGUAGCACCUGGGUGCUUUGAAUUCCUGCUCUUGCCUAAGGUUUUCUGAACCUUAGGAGUUUUGUUGCCUCAAUCACUUUAGGCAAUUGACCUUCAAGACUCUUGAAGAAAAGAAGCAUCCAUUCCUAAAAUGUGGAAGUACCUAUGGAAAGCUGGUCCCAUUCAGGUCACAGCAAGCAGGUAUCUGUAUCCCUCUACCUCAGUUUUACUCUGAUGCAACAAAUGUUGAUGGAGGGACUUCCUUGAUGAGGGUCAGAAAGGACUUUGAUGGACCAUGUGUUAACAUGCACUUUUACAUCACCCACUAAUUAAACAAAAAGUAAAUAGAGCUCAUCUGUGCUGCAGUAAUGCAAACCCUCUGCCCUCCUCCUUCCUGCAUGCAGCAUAAAAUGAAGAUACUCCUCAAAUCUGGCCUCUAUAUGAUACAUUCCAGAUGUCUGGGCUAAAAAAAUAUAACUCAACACUGCAGAGCUGCACUCCUGAAAUGGUGGGGUGUCCUUUCCAGGAGCGUGCAGGAAACAGGGCUAUGGGAAGCUCCCUGUUCACAGCACUGGACAGAGCUCGCCACAGCUGGGAGAGGAGGCAGCACGUGGGAAGGGGAGGUGCAGGGCUGGAUAUUUCAUGAAACAUGGUUGGGGUGAGGAAAGACAAACACUUGCAGAAACUGGUGGAGCUGUGCACCCCUGAGGGCUUUGGCCAGUUGCUCAAACAUAAAUGAACCUUUCAAUCUGCCUCUAGUGAUCUCCAAAGGUGAAAUGAGUGGGUACCACCAUGCACCAGGAGCACUGGCUGUGCACUGAGCUUGUGGUGUGUAUGGUCCCGUGGUUCCAGGAGGAAACUCCUGCCUGGUGUUGCUGGCUCCUGGUCUGAUCUGCCCACAGGCUAUGCAGACCCUCCAGGACAAUGCUGCACCCUCCACACACCAGGAAAAGGCAGGAAGGAAGUCUCUCAAGGACAGUACUGGAUUGUUCAACAAGAGAUUGUUCAUCUCUCUUCUUUAACACUGUGCCACUUUCCAGUCACCUGCUCUUACUACAGUGAGACUUCCUCUUAUAGGUCAGGUCUUUUAAACAUUUAUUUAAAUAUUCCCAAAUGCUUGAAAAUAACCCAACUACCUGGUUGCUUCCUCUCGAAUUCUGCACGUGUUUCUUCCAAGGCUCCUGGGAUGAGCGUGUCUUUGUCCAGCAGUGUUGUGCAGCCACAGACACGAGUCAUGUCUGCUCCUCUUCUCACACCACCCUGUCUCUGCAAACUUGCACUGACACUCUUUUGCCUUUCAGAAAAUGUUGACAUCUUGAUGUCUUCUCCAUAGACUCACACUGACACAGUGUUAGGGACUAUGUGAUGACACCGCAGCCCACGUUAGUGAAUGGUGAAAUAGCCCUGUCACAAACUAUAUUGUGAAGUAUCAAAACUGUUUAAAAAUGUAGUUUUCUAGGGAAAAAAAAAAGGAAAUAAAUCCCAAGGGCCUUAAGCUUACCUUGAGGACUGCUAUGCUCAGUUAGAUACAAAUAUUGAUGCUUAAGUAAAGCAUUUUAACCUAUGACAAAUAUAAAUGGUAUAUAAUGUAUAUGUAUUUAUAUAAUAACUACACAUUAUCAAAAUUCACAGUACCUAGGAAUGAUGUUCAUGACUUGUGGGCACACCUCAUGACAUGUUUUCAAUUCAGGCACUUUGAAACUCUGGCUGGACUGAUACUUGAUGAUAAAUGUUUUGCUUUUUUCUUUAUAUGAAGCAUAAUGACCAAAGUUGAACUGCCAGAAUCCGGGACUUAAUUUUCAGUUAUGAAUAUUCUUUAUUACAAAUACAGAAUCAACUAUUAUUCCUUUCAGAAAUGGUGGCAUAAAUUACUCCAGUGCACUUACUUAAUUUCUUCUGAAAUUGACUCUAAUACAGAGUAUUAAUUUCUGCUGAAAAUUACUUUGGAGCUUGACAGGGCUCUGUCAGAGUUUAUCAGUGAAGGCCUCACUAUGUGUGGCAACAGUUGGUUUCUCUGUUUCUUUUGUCAGUUAUGAGAAUCUAAAGUAGGCCAGAUGAAGAUGAGCAAGAUUGCCCAGGUUUUAUUCCUUUGCUACUCCUUUUAACCAUUGAAGACUGCAAACAGUACAGCAUAAUACUGAAGAAAAUAACAGCUUUAAAAUAGGUGCAGCUGUUACAAAGAAUUUUUCCUGUUAAUAUUUGGGAUAGUCAUUAUAUCUGGGAUGAGAUAACUUGGACAAAUCAACAGGUUAAGAUAAAUAGUUUUGAUUUCUUUGUUUGUUUAUGGAAAAAACACACAUUUGCUUAAGAAUGUUGGAGAGGUGAUUUUGUCUCUUGAUCCAAAAAGUGAUUAAUAGUAGGGCAGGCAGACAUACAGUUGGAAUUUGACCACGCAGAACAGAGUUCAUGAGACAAAUUCAACCCUGCUUUAAAUAUUACAUGGUCUAAUGAGCUUCAGUAUUUAGUUAUUUUCUUAAAUGUCUGCCUUGCAGACACCUCAGAUCUGGAGUCGGAACAUCCAGCUGUGCUCUUGCUGCUUCUCACAACACACUGUAAUUAGAACGUGCUGAUAACUCGGUUGAUGCACGAGAGAUAAAAAUCCAUUCUACCUCAUGCUGGUGGUAAAAAUGUGGUUUCAUCAGGAAAGAGAGCAAAUAUGAAUUAAAAACACACUGAAGACGACAGUAUCAUUUUCACCAACACACUCCUCUGACAUCACCGACAGCAGCGUGUGUUGAACUCUGCUGCUUUAUCCCUGGCAUGGCAUUGAUCUCAGCCAUGAGUCAGGAUUCAGUGGUACCAGACACUGCAGAGAAUAAAAAAUAAAAUAUUCACAGCCCUGGAAAGAAACCCUCAUGUCGAGAAAUCAUCUAGCCAGUGGCUCCUGCAGCAGAGCAAUUCGUGAAGAGCUCCUGCUGCUCCAGAGUCAAGCCUCUAAUGGAGCUAAUUUUUCUCCUGCACCCUGGGAUAAACUUGUCACACAGCUUUGUUUUUAUGAGUAGGGGACAUGACAUCUAGUCAGGUUUUCCAUGCUAAGAAUUUCAUGUUACAUAUUGUUAAAGAUGACUGAAAUAGGUUAUGUACACAUCAAAAUGAGUGAACUUUUACCUUUCCUAUUGCAAGUUAUCCGUGACAUCCUUGGAAAUCAUUGACUUCUCAGCUAUUGACAUUGUUGGGGGAAGGGGAAAAAGGUUCAUCUUGCAAGAAAUGCUGACUCAGAGAUUUCUCAAGGAAAUCUACUUUCUUAGCUGAAGAAGGAAGAUUCAUUCCUUGCUCAUCUUGGUGAAAUCUAAUUGUGAUAUUUAUAUUCUGUAUUAAUUUGAUUCAGUAAAGAUUUCCAACAUAGGCAAAGAAGCCAAUCGUAAUAAUUUGUUCUGAAGCUUUUAUUACUAUUGUGUUUUGAAUGCAGGUAUUAAAACAGCAGUGGAGCAGCAGAUGCUAUCCCUUGCAUAUUGUUAAAGAUGCUACCUAUGCAAUUCCUAAAAGCAUGAGCCCUUCUAAUGGGAGGAAGCAGCAAAACACCCAUUGACUUCAGCUGAUUAUAGAUUUCAUCAAGCAAAUAUGGGGCAGUGCUACAUGCUGGGGAACAAAGUCAUUUGCAAGGAAUAGUUUACAGUAGCUUUUGCUUCUCCUUUGUGCUUUUGACUUUAUCAAAUGGAUUUGAAUUCCAUAUAUAAAAGUGACUGCUUUGCAUUAAAAAUAAGUUUUCAAGUUGAACAAGCCUGCUUAAAAAGAAGAGACAUUUGGUACCGGUAGCUGUGAUUUAGUGAAUAUUUUUUCCACUUUUUCAAGUACUCAUUACAAUUCCUACUUAUUUUAUAGCAAUAUCACACAAUAAACAUUUCUUUUCUGAUUAAGGGAUUGAAGGAGAACUGAAUUAUAAACAGUAUUAAUAUAAGAGGGAAUUUCUAUCCUGUGCUCUGUAGGCCUGAGUUUAUAUGACCUUAAACAAUCAGUCUGAAGAAGUGACAUCAGCUGCUGUACACAUUCCACAUUACUGAGGAAUUAAAUUAAGCAGCUUUAAUAUCUGUGAAAUGGCACAGGCCUGAAAGAGAAUCGUUCCAAUUUAUGGACUUUGUAUCUGAUUUACUAGUGCAUGUCUAGCAAUUUCAGAGUCACCAAUUGCUUUAAGACCACCUCCAAAGUGUUUUUAUCACUUACAGUAAAUGUGCUAACAUAAUGUUUUAAUUAAACAUUUAAAGUGCAUCAAACAAAUUUAUUGAUGCUGCCAGGAAAAAAAAAAAAAAAAAAAA
rnacentral:lncRNA from 1 species